rnacentral:rRNA from 1 species
CGAGCACGCGCGUGUGGCAUAUCAAUAAGCGGAGGAAAAGAAACUAACAAGGAUUCCCUUAGUAACGGCGAGUGAAGCGGGAAGAGCUCAAAUUUGAAAUCUUCAAGGUUCUACCUUGACGAAUUGUAGUUUAUAGAAGUGUUUUCUGUUAGUGGAGUGGCAAAAGUUCUUUGGAAUAGGACAUCAUAGAGGGUGAGAAUCCCGUAUUUGGUCAUUCCUCCUAGCGUUGUGAUACACUUUCAACGAGUCGGAUUGUUUGGGAAUGCAGUCCAAAAUGGGUGGUAAAUUUCAUCUAAAGCUAAAUAUUGGCGAGAGACCGAUAGCGAACAAGUACCGUGAGGGAAAGAUGAAAAGAACUUUGAAAAGAGAGUUAAACAGUACGUGAAAUUGUCAAAAGGGAAGCGUUUGACACCAGUGUUGUUUUUCCGAAAAUCAAUUACGAAUGUUUUAUUUUUGAGAAGUUAUGACUUCAUCGGCUUGCUCCUUUCUUUAUGAAACUUUCUUAAUGCACUUUUCGGUUAACAAGUCAACAUCAAUUUCUUUUGUUGUAAAAGGGUAUGAGGAAGGUGGCUUUCUUUUCGGAGAAAGUGUUUAUAGCCUUGUGCCUCUGCAAUCGGAGAGAUUGAGGUCUGCAGCGUAGAUCCUUCGGGGUUAGAUACAGUUUGUGCUAAGUUAUAGCUUUUCAUAGACAACAUUGUUGACUAUGUUAAGUCAUUGUAGCUUACUCGCUAAGUGCUAUUUUACCUACACUUAGGAUGUUGAGUAGCGACAUACGCAC